ACUUACCAGACAAGACAGCGAUAGCUUCCCUUUCUCUCUCUUCUUCAUUCCUUCUCAGCUUGUAGCAAAAUCUAAAAUUUCUCCCUCUCUAUUCCCCUGUGCCUAAUUGUACCUCUAUCUUUAUUGAAUUUAGAUUAGGAUUUCUUCUCCAAUUUCUCCUCAACUCAAACGCAUGACCCUUUGAUCAUAAACAGACAUCCAUUUCACUUAUUUCAGCUUAGAAUUCGUCUAGCUGGGGAUUUUUAAGAUUUCCGGUCACUAUCAUC
rnacentral:misc_RNA from 1 species